rnacentral:rRNA from 1 species
GACAGAGGGUGCAAACGUUGUUCGGAAUUACUGGGCGUAAAGAGCGUGUAGGCGGCUUUACAGGUCCGUUGUGAAAACUCGAGGCUCAACCUCGAGACGCCGGUGGAAACCGUAAAGCUAGAGUCCGGAAGAGGAGAGUGGAAUUCCUGGUGUAGCGGUGAAAUGCGCAGAUAUCAGGAAGAACACCCGUGGCGAAGGCGGCUCUCUGGGACGGUACUGACGCUGAGACGCGAAAGCGUGGGGAGCGAACAGG